rnacentral:rRNA from 1 species
CCUUUGUACACACCGCCCGUCGCUACUACCGAUUGAAUGGCUCAGUGAGGCCUUGGGAUUGGCCAGGGGAGGUUGGCAACGACCACCUUGAGCCGGAAAGUUCGUCAAACUCGGUCAUUUAGAGG